rnacentral:tRNA from 1 species
UCCCUAGUAGCUCAGUUGGUAAAGAAUCUGCCUCCAAUGCAGGAGAGCCAGGUUCGAUCCCUGGGUCGGGAA